UACGUAGGGUGCGAGCGUUAAUCGGAAUUACUGGGCGUAAAGCGUGCGUAGGCGGUUCUCCAAGUCCGUUGUGAAAGCCCCGGGCUCAACCUGGGAAUGGCAGUGGAAACUAGGGGACUGGAAUCUGGCAGAGGGGGGUGGAAUGCCGCGUGUAGCAGUGAAAUGCGUAGAGAUGCGGAGGAACACCGAUGGCGAAGGCAGCCCCCUGGGCUGACACUGACGCUCAGGCACGAAAGCGUGGGGAGCAAACAGG
rnacentral:rRNA from 1 species